rnacentral:rRNA from 1 species
CAAUAGCGUAUAUUAAAGUUGUUGCAGUUAAAAAGCUCGUAGUUGAACUUCAGACCUGGCUGGGCGGUCCGCCUCACGGUGUGUACUGUCCGGCUGGGCCUUACCUCUUGGUGAGCCGGCAUGCCCUUCAUUGGGUGUGUCGGGGAACCAGGACUUUUACCUUGAGAAAAUUAGAGUGUUCAAAGCAGGCAAUCGCCCGAAUACAUUAGCAUGGAAUAAUAAAAUAGGACGUGCGGUUCUAUUUUGUUGGUUUCUAGAGUCGCCGUAAUGAUUAAUAGGGACAGUUGGGGGCAUUAGUAUUCAGUCGUCAGAGGUGAAAUUCUUGGAUUGACUGAAGACUAACUAUUGCGAANGNAUUUGCNAAGGAUGUUUNCAUUA